GACAGAGGUUGCAAACGUUGUUCGGAAUCACUGGGCAUAAAGCGCACGUAGGCGGUCUGUUAAGUCAGGUGUGAAAGCCCCCCGGCUCAACCGGGGAAUUGCAUUUGAUACUGGCAGGCUCGAGAACGGUAGGGGUGAGUGGAACUCCAGGUGGAGCGGUGAAAUGCGUAGAUAUCUGGAGGAACACCGGUGGCGAAAGCGGCUCACUGGACCGUCACUGACGCUGAGGUGCGAAAGCUAGGGUAGCAAACGGG
rnacentral:rRNA from 1 species